rnacentral:misc_RNA from 1 species
GAUGAAGAACGCAGCGAAAUGCGAUAAGUAAUGUGAAUUGCAGAAUUCAGUGAAUCAUCGAAUCUUUGAACGCACAUUGCGCCCGCCAGUAUUCUGGCGGGCAUGCCUGUUCGAGCGUCAUUUCAACCAUCAAGCCCCCGGGUUUGGUGUUGGGGAUCGGCUCUGCCUUCUGGCGGUGCCGCCCCCGAAAUACAUUGGCGGUCUCGCUGCAGCCUCCAUUGCGUAGUAGCUAACACCUCGCAACUGGAACGCGGCGCGGCCAUGCCGUAAAACCCCAACUUCUGAAUGUUGACCUCGGAUCAGGUAGGAAUACCCGCUGAACUUAAGCAUAUCAAUAAGCGGAGGA